GGAGUUCGAGUCCCUACAUGGGAAAAGGGAAUAAUUUUUGCUCUUUUUUUCAGCAAGAGGUUGUUUUGACUAGGUUUCUGAGUAGUAGUGGCGAGGUGGGGGGUGUUGGAGUGAUUUUAGGAGGAAAAUAUGGGAUUGGAGUGUUGGAGUGAUUUUAGAAGGAAAAUAUGGGACUGUGGAGUUAUCCUAAUUUGGUGGACUGAUAAUUUUAGCUCUCACUUCUCUUUCUACCAAUUUCGGUCAUUUGGCAUAUUUUUUUUUCCUUUUUUCUUUUUGCUCCACCGUUUUUCUUUUCUUUUCUUCCCAAUUUUCUGUCGUUUUUCCUCCCUCAACUCCCCAUUGUUGCUGUCGAAAUUUCAAUUGGUAUUCUUUCUUCCUCUUUCACUUGCGUUUUUCUAGUCUAUUGUUCGAGAUUGCAUAUCGUUGUGUUGUGCAUGGUUGGUAAGCUUGGAACUAUUUUAGACUAUUAAUUCUUUUGCUUAUUAAUUGAUUAAGAGGAGUUUCAGUUGGUUUUAGGUGUUAAUCGAGAGGCUGAACAGUGGUCUUCAACGAUUUAAAUGUUUAGGAUCUCUGUUGAUUAACCAAAGGUAAGGUUUUUUUUAUGAUUAUAGUUUG
rnacentral:lncRNA from 1 species